rnacentral:rRNA from 1 species
AUGAACGCUAGCGGCAGGCCUAAUACAUGCAAGUCGAACGGUCAGUAGCAAUACUGAUAGUGGCGCACGGGUGCGUAACACGUAACUAACCUACCUAUAACUGGGGGAUAGCCCGCCGAAAGGCGGAUUAAUACCGCAUAAGCUAUUUGAGUGGCAUCGCUCGAUUAGUAAAGAUUUAUUGGUUAUAGAUGGGGUUGCGGGUCAUUAGCUAGUUGGUCAGGUAACGGCUUACCAAGGCGACGAUGACUAGGGGAGCUGAGAGGCUGGUCCCCCACACGGGCACUGAGAUACGGGCCCGACUCCUACGGGAGGCAGCAGUAGGGAAUAUUGGGCAAUGGGCGAGAGCCUGACCCAGCCAUGCCGCGUGCAGGAAGAAGGCUUUCUGAGUCGUAAACUGCUUUUGACAGGGAAGAAUAAGCACUACGUGUAGUGCGAUGACGGUACCUGCAGAAUAAGCACCGGCUAACUCCGU